GCAAACUUGCUGAUAGUGCACUCUAUUCCCUCAUCUAAAUUGUUAAUGAAUAUAUUGAAUAAUAUUGGCCCCAGUACUGACCCCUGAGGCACUCCACUAGAUACUGGCCUCCAACUAGUCUUUGCACCAUUGAGUACCACUAUCUAGGACAUGGGGGCAGCCUGGGGACACGCUGGGGCUCUGGGCCACAGUGGCUUGACGCAGGUGUCAGAAGAGCUCAUCAGUCUCUUCGGGGAGGACAGGGAUGACAUGCUGAUCGACCGCAACUUAUGGGUAUGACAUUGGGGGCGACUCAGGCAUCCAGGAGGGAGUCAGGCUUCAGGGAGAGGGAGGGGGUAACCAAUGUGUUGGAACUGAUGUUCAGGGUCACAGGGGUGGUUGAAGGUAAAAGAGGGGAUACAGGACUGGGAGGGUUUUGAUGUGACACCAGGAGGAAACAAAGUUGGACAGAACCAAAGUUCAGCGUCAUGGGCUUGGGGCAGGGGGUGGAGGUAAAAAGAGGCAACACAGGGGUGGUGAAAGGGUUUUGAUGUGACACUGGGUGGAACCAAAGUUCAGGGUCACUGGUGUGGGGGGAAGGUAAAAGACAGGACACAGGGUUGAGGGAAGGAUUUUGAUAUGACACUGGGCAGAACCAAAGUUGGGUGGAACCAAAGUUCAGAGUCACGGGGGUGGGGGAAGGUAAAAGAGGCGACACAGGGGAAGGAUUUUGAUGUGACACCGAGCGGAACCAAACUUUCUCGGAACAAAAGUUCAGGGUGGGGGGGGUGGGUCAUGUGGGGAAGGGAAAGGGAAGGGCACUGAGGCAAGUUGGGGACUGGAUCGAGGGGACACCAAGGCCUCUUGGAGUGGGGUACGUGGGGGUUCUGGGUUGACAUGGUGUCCCUUGGGGACCCAGGUGUCCUAGGGGAAGGUAGAGGAGGGGACACAGGGAUACAUGAAGCAGGUGAGUGUAACUGGUUUGUGAGUGUGGGAUUGAAAAUUCUUGUGAGGGGUUUCCCUGAUUUUCAAGGGCUCUUUUUUCUUUCUUCUUUUUUGUUUUCUUUUUUUUUCUUCUUUUUUUUUUUUUGUUUUCUUUUCUUCUUCUUCUUCUUUUUUCCCUUCUUCCCUUCUUUUUUUUUCCUUCUUCUUUUUCUCUUUUUCCUCUUUUUUGCUUCCUUUUUUUUUUUAAAUUUUUUUUUUCUUUUUUCUUUUUUUUUUUUACCCCUGUUUUUUCCUUCCUUUCCUAUUUUUUUCAUUCCUUUCCUCCCUGCAGUUUUUCAGAGCCUUCCCAGUUUCUGCUGUCAUCUGAUGGCUGAAGUGUUAUUCUUGUGUGCAUGUUUGGCAGGUGGGGGUCCAAUGCAACGUACAGAGCUCCCUCAUUUCCCCCCAGAACUCCAAAUCACAGGGACGAUGUUGCUGUGCAGCUGCUAAUGACAGCCCGGCGCCCCAUGCAGAAUAAAGUUCUUCGUGCCGUGUGUGUGUGUUCUGUGUUCCAGCACUAUGUAUUGUACCUGCUGUGAUGAGUUCGUGCUCCACCGUGUCACCGCAGCUUCGGCAGCAUCCCGGGUUUCGUUGAACAGGUUGUCGGUGGAGCCGGCAGUCGACAACCUCCAGUCACAUCAAGGAGUAGAGAGCCCUGGGGAGGACUGUGGAGUCGUGAGGAACUGAGUGGAGCCCUUGGGAGGACUGGGAAGCUCUGGGGAGAUGAGAGAAGUCCAGAGGAAGUCUGGGGAGUCCUGAGGAGAUGAGGUUCACCCUGAAGAGCUGUGGAGAACUGAGGAGAGCCCUGGGCAGAAACAGGGAGCCUUCAGGAACCAAGGAGAGACCUGAGGAGGACUGGGAAGAUGCAAACCACUGGUGAGCAGAGAUGUUGAAAAGGAACCUGGCAAUUACAGGAAGAUGCCCAUUAGCUGAUGUGGUAUUUUCUUCUGCUGAGGAUGGUUUCAGACCCCUAGCCCUCUGAAAGCUAAGUGGAAGGACUGGGGCUGGGGAGGCUCUGGGCAUUGUAGGGAGGGGUUUUAAAGCUUAUGUAGGGGAGAAGACUGUCCAGGAACAGUUGCUUUUGGGCAGGUAAAGGGUGCAGGUAACUUUUCAGCACAAUGCUAGCUUGGGCAGGGCAGCUCCAGCCUGUGUCUGUGUUGUUGUGUAGUUUGGGAAGUCUGCCUUGUGCCUGUUAGAUGUUCCUUGGGUCUUCAUAGAAUCUUAGAAUAGAAUGGAAGGGACUCACAAGGACCGUUGAGUCCAACUUCUGUCAUUGCAUAUGACAACUCCAUAGCUCACAUCAUGUGUCUGAGGUUGUCACAUGCCUGGUCUCUUCUCGCUUUCUGGGAGGGGCCCUCAGUUCAAGAAGGACAGGGAUCUGCUGGAGAGAGCCCAGCGCAGGGCAACAAAGAUGAUUAAGGGAGUAGAGCAUCUCCCUUAUGAGAAAAGGCUGAGGGAGCUGGGUCUCUUUAGUUUGGAGAAGAGGAGACUGAGGGGGGACCUCAUUAAUGUUUACAGAUAUAUAAAGGGUGAGUGUCAUGAGGUUGGAGUCAGGCUCUUCUCGGUGACAACCAAUGAUGGGACAAGGGGCAAGGGGUACAAACUGGAACACAAAAGGUUCCACUUAAAUUUGAGAAGAAACUUCUUCUCAGUGAGGGUGACAGAACAUUGGAACAGGCUGCCCAGGUGGGUUGUGGAGUCUCCUACUCUGGAGACAUUCAAAACAUGCCUGGAUGCCUUCCUGUGUAACCUCAUCUAGGUGUUCCUACUCCGGCAGGGGGAUUGGACUGGAUGAUCUUUCAAGGUCCCUUUCAAUCUCUAACAUUCUGUGAUUCUGUGAGGGGCUGUUCAGCAGGAGUGAAUGAGGUGUGAUCUCAAAGUUGUAACCAUAAUCAGACAUUUUUGGAAUGGGAUGAGCAUUUCCAGUUAGCUGGGGUAGUGGCGAGGAGAAUGUGGGAUGGGGAACUUAUCCCAAGCACUGCAGUAAUUUUGUUUCUUGCUAUCUUAGGUGCCACAAGUGACAAGGGCUUUGAUAUCUGCCUCUGUAAUGAGCAGAUGUUGAAGAGGAACUGCAGGAACGUCCUCGUUAACCAAUGCGUGUUUUCUUUUCUCGAGGAUGGAUUCAGAUUUCCAACAUUACUUUUAUUUUACAUCUAAAUCUUCUAAAGUUAAAUUAGAAAAUGAACAGUGAGUCACGACUGUCUUAAUUUAAAUGUAGCCUUUUUUCUUUCUGUAUGAGGGGGAGUGGAAUAAAUAAUCAUGGAUAUUAAUUCUGAAUUAAAAUAAAAGUAGUGCAAAGUACAUGUGAUUAACAGACCAGUGAAUCUGUUCCGUGUGAAAAGGAUGUUCAGCAAAUUGACCGAAAACAGCACCACCUGCAGCCAGCAUUGUUCAACAGAAAGGACCUGAUUCUUUUUCACGACAAUGCCUGAUCACAUGUUACACAACUGACGCUUCAAAGGUUGAAUUAAUUGGGCUAUGAAGAUUUGCCUCAUCUGCCAUCUCAUUUAUGCAUUACAGGAAUAAAUAAACUUAUUUCUGGUUGGCAAAA